rnacentral:misc_RNA from 1 species
CAGCGUCACACCACCC